UUCUCAAGAGAGAAAAAGGAAACCGAAAACUCUGGAAACUGGAAAAGUGGCUUUUGCACAAACAUUGGAAGACUUAAAAGCUAGAAUCAUCUACUCAGGCACACUGUCGUGAUUGAUAUUCCUUGGAGACAGUGUACAUCUGAGGAGCCAGAAGGAUCAUUCUCUUGUACAGAAGCUCAGAGCAAAAUGGAAAUAGACAAGAACCUGCUUCUCAAGCAAAAUCAAGCAACUGAAGGAAGCCCAGCUUUCCCUUUGAAAUUUAACAACCAGGACUUUGUUAAACUGCAAAACUACUGCCUGCAUCAGGGCCUACUUUUUGAAGAUGACACAUUCCCAGCAAAUAGUUAUUCCAUUGGACUUAAUUUGUUUUCACAAGAGAAACUGAGAAAAGUACAGUGGUUGAGACCAAAAAAACUGAAACCACAAGAAUUCAAGAUAACUCCUAGAGGCAUGGCCAUGGCACUCUGCAUUCCGAUGAGUCAGGCAUAAACAGUCACAAUGAGAUAACAACCUUGCAUAAACUAUUCAAGAAAGGAAGCAAUCUAAAGUGGAAAAAAGCAAAUAAUUUAAACAGAUCCACCCCUUCAUUGCACUAGACUAGAGAAACAAGAAUAAAAAAUAGACAAUGUUCCACCCCAAAAGCAAAGAGGGAAGAAACAAUGCCCUGGUCAUGGCUGGCAAGGCAAGCUGCCAAACCAAACAGCCAUAAAACUCCAUUCCUCGACACACUGAUGAUGUUACAUGGCCUACUAAUGAAAUGUUUCCAGGAAGAGACACAAACUCAAAGAACACUGAGAACUGAACAACUCAGCCUCGAGCUAAAUCAGUUCUCCACAAUGGCAGACACAUAUUACGUCAACGAUUUGCCCAUAAUCAAAACCAUACAAUCCUGUAUGUUAUGCUUAAAAUUUGAAAUACCAUCUUUUAAAAAUCUAGAAUACCUUGAUGUAGAAAUUUGAUACUAGUUACUUCCAUCCAAUAGGCAAAAAUCUGGUCCUUUGAUAUUUUUUCACUUUAACACUGAUCAAAUAGCUAAUUUACUGAUGAGAAUUAAAAAAAAGAUGCCUUUGAAUCAAACUGAAUUCCUGAUAACCCUGCAGUUUUUCUCAGCCAUAAUAUGGAAGAUUUGCCAGGGCUUCUUCCAGGAUGGUUUUUCAGUUUCCCGCAUAGCCUAUAGUUCUGAUAUUCUCUGAUCAUUUACCAUUCAAGAAUUUACCUGGCCUGAUCUUGCUCAGCUUCCUUACAAGACCACCCUGCUGACACAUCUUUGCUAUGCAUGCACAGUUCAUUUCACUUUUUAAACAUCCUCAUGGCAUGAUUAAGUACAUUCCAAUCCAUGCAGUGAUUGCUACUGGUUUAAGACCAGUCUUAGUGCCUUCCAGGGAGUUGGAUUAUAACUCCUAGAAUCCCAAGCAGAGUGGCCAAAGGCUAGAGAGAAUUAGACUCCUUCCUUUUUAGUAUCAGUGGAUGCUUAAGAACUCUUUCCUUUCAUUUUAGUCUCUUCUGGGCCUUUGGCCAUUUGAAGAAUUUGGAAACAUAGAAGUGAAAGAGAGACAGGGGUUGUUAAUCUUUUUGCCAACUAUGGCAGCUUGAUUGGCAGAUGUUAGCAGUAAACUAGCUGGAUUUUAUGCCAGCUAAAUUAACUCUUAAUUUAUUUUAAACCUGAAAAUCACAUAAAAUACUGGAUGGGGAUUACUAUAAAUGUGUGUUAAAAUAUAAUAGAUUUCUAGCUAAAUUAAGCUAAAUGGUAUUAUUGAUUUUUAUUUAAUCUAUUUUUAGAAACAUUUUAAG